rnacentral:rRNA from 1 species
CCCUUAGAUGUUCUGGGCCGCACGCGCGCUACACUGAAAAAGUCAACGAGUAUUUUGUUAACCCUGUUCCGAAAGGAAUGGGUAAUCUUAAAACUUUUUCGUGAUGGGGAUAGAUCAUUGCAAUUAUUGAUCUUGAACGAGGAAUUCCUAGUAAGCGUGAGUCAUCAGCUUGCGUUGAUUACGUCCCUGCCCUUUGUACACACCGCCCGUCGCUACUACCGAUUGAAUGUUUUAGUGAGGUCUUUGGAUUGGUAACAUAAAGUGUUUCAUUUUAUGUGGCUAAGAAGUAGAACAAACUUGAGCAUUUAGAGGAAGUAAAANUCGUANCA